rnacentral:rRNA from 1 species
UCAGUUGUGAAAGUUUGCGGCUCAACCGUAAAAUUGCAGUUGAUACUGGAUAUCUUGAGUGCAGUUGAGGCAGGCGGAAUUCGUGGUGUAGCGGUGAAAUGCUUAGAUAUCACGAAGAACUCCGAUUGCGAAGGCAGCCUGCUAAGCUGCAACUGACAUUGAGGCUCGAAAGUGUGGGUAUCAAACAGGAUUAGAUACCCUGGUAGUCCACACGGUAAACGAUGAAUACUCGCUGUUUGCGAUAUACAGCAAGCGGCCAAGCGAAAGCGUUAAGUAUUCCACCUGGGGAGUACGCCGGCAACGGUGAAACUCAAAGGAAUUGACAGGGGCCCGCACAAGCGGAGGAACAUGUGGUUUAAUUCGAUGAUACGCGAGGAACCUUACCCGGGCUUAAAUUGCAGAUGAAUUACGGUGAAAGCCGUAAGCCGCAAGGCAUCUGUGAAGGUGCUGCAUGGUUGUCGUCAGCUCGUGCCGUGAGGUGUCGGCUUAAG